rnacentral:rRNA from 1 species
CACUCCUACGGGAGGCAGCAGUGGGGAAUUUUGGACAAUGGGCGAAAGCCUGAUCCAGCAAUGCCGCGUGAGUGAAGAAGGCCUUCGGGUUGUAAAGCUCUUUUGUCAGGGAAGAAACGGUGAAAGCUAAUAUCUUUUGCUAAUGACGGUACCUGAAGAAUAAGCACCGGCUAACUACGUGCCAGCAGCCGCGGUAAUACGUAGGGUGCAAGCGUUAAUCGGAAUUACUGGGCGUAAAGCGUGCGCAGGCGGUUUUGUAAGUCUGAUGUGAAAUCCCCGGGCUCAACCUGGGAAUUGCAAUGGAGACUGCAAGGCUAGAAUCUGGCAGAGGGGGGUAGAAUUCCACGUGUAGCAGUGAAAUGCGUAGAUAUGUGGAGGAACACCGAUGGCGAAGGCAGCCCCCUGGGUCAAGAUUGACGCUCAUGCACGAAAGCGUGGGGAGCAAACAGGAUUAGAAACCCCUGUAGUCCCAUGA